UAUUGAGUGGCCAAAAAUAUAGCUGUCUGCUUUAAGCAUGGCCAAAAAUAUAGCUGUUGCAUAUUUUCAACUGUAACCAGUCAAAUCCCAGAAAGGAUAAACUCCGCAGAGUCAAAAAUAUAAGGGCUAACUGGACUUCUACAGCUAGAGAUGACAACUGUUAGACCCCUGACAAAGCUGAUCAGCUGAUCGACAAGCGGCACGGCAAUGGCGAGGGUUUUGGCAUGAUGGCCUUGUCAUUGGCCUAUGUGCGAGGGAAAAUCAACAUGCAAGACAAUGCGGGGGUGUUGUUAAUGGCAACAAACUGUUGCUAAGGCAAGUGAGACGGACUACACUUGUAUUUGAGGGCUAAGGUGUGACGGACUACACCAAAGCAAGAGUGGGCUGCGUACAAGCAAGGCCAAGACCUUGACGGAACUAGGCGGGCUGGAUGGGAGCUUGACAAGGCUAAACGGGAAAGACCUCGGCGCUAAAGUGAGGCAGCUUAGUGCCAAGGCAUUGACAUUGACAAUGUGAUGUUACCAUGACUUAGGUGUGCGGGCUGGCACCUAAGUUAUUUGUGGGCAAACGACUUGGCAAAGGGAAGGGCAUCAAGGCUUGGUGACUUGAUGUUAAAAUCAGCAUGGGCAACGGGCAGACUUGAUCAAGUAGGGGCGACUUGACAAGAACAAGCUACUGUGGCAGCGGAUUGGCGUGCGGCUAAGUCAAGGGUGACGAGCUGUGGUGAUGACAUUGAGCGGAAGCAGUGUCAAAAGCUAAGGCUGGGCGCAAAGCCAGCCUUAGGCGUGCAGCAGCUGGCCAAGAAACACGCACAUGCAGCGCACAUGGAAUGGUUUUCAAGUGUGCUGUGCACAUGCCAUGCAGUUGGCGGUUACAACUGCCUUUGUCCAAGAGUUGCUGAUUAUAGGCUGAGUCUAUGUACGUUUUUAGGCAUGUUAGAGACAUGUCCUACACGUUUUGAUCAUGGGGAUCAUGUCCUAUCAGUUGGGGGAUGUCAACUGAACAUAGGAAACACUUUUGGGGCUGACUACAUUAUAUAUAUGUGUGCUAGCAGCCUUAAAAACGGGCUAAGUACCUAGGGAGGGAAAAUGUCUGAAAGAUAGGCAUAGGGUUGUCUAUUUUAUGGCUUGAGCAUGGCAAAAUAUGUGCCAUUGCCUUACCAAACGAGGGGCAGCACGAGCGAUCUUAGGCAUGGGCUUUUAUAGGGCAGAUUCGUGCAAGUGUAGGCCAUUUUUGUGAGUUGGUGCCUGUCAAGGGUGGCAGCACCUUGCCUAACUCGAGAAUUUCCUUUGUAAUUGAUUUAUUAUAAAAGGUUGGGAAAGGGUUCCCGUAAAUCUGUGUUGUCUUUGUUUAUUCAUGUUGCCUUAAAUUUAUUCUAAGUGUUAAACCUCGAAAGCGAACGAAAAUUGGGUAAGGCUGAGGUCAAGUGGGGACUUGACUGCCGCACAUCGGGCAGCAUUUUUGGCGGACAGAAAACGCCCCUGUGACAAUUGGUAUCAGAGCAAGCUAGGUUUGGUUUGGUUUGGUUCGUGACGAGGUCGAGAUGGCCAUGGACAAGACUACAAGGCAGUGGGUCAGUGUUCCUGUUCGUGGAAGGGACUGUCUUGGCUUAGAAAUUCAGAAAAGGCAAGGAAGGCAGUGAUGCAGAAAUUUCGAGUUUGUGGGUGCCAAAAAUCAGUGUGGGUUGUUUCAAAUCAGUCAGUUGGCGUGCUGGAUUUGCUGUGGGAACGACGGGCAAGAAGCGCAAUGAGAAAACAAAAACGUUGCACUUGAGGGCAAGGACAACGUAAUUCUCAAAGGGGUGCUGAACUUGUGAUGUCUUUGCAAAUAGCAGCAUGUGUUGGGAUCUAUUCGACGAGGGCGUCGAAUUCAACUGGUUGGGGUGGUUUGUUAGACCCCUGACAAAGCUAAUCGGCAAGCGGCACGGCAGUGGCGAGGGUUUUGGCAUGAUGGCCUUGCCAUUGGCCUAUGUGCGAGGGAAAAUCAACAUGCAAGACAAUGCGGGGGUGUUGUCAAUGGCAACAAACUGUAGCUAAGGCAAGUGAGACGGACUACACUUGUAUUUGAGGGCUAAGGUGUGACGGACUACACCAAAGCAAGAGCGGGCUGCGUACAAGCAAGGCCAAGACCUUGACGGAACUAGGCGGGCUGGAUGUGAGCUUGACAAGGCUAAACGGGAAAGACCUCGGCGCUAAAGUGAGGCAGCUUAGUGCCAAGGCAUUGGCAUUGGCAAUGUGAUGUUGCCAUGACUUAGGUGUGCGGGCUGGCACCUAAGUUAUUUGUGGGCAAACGACAUGGCAAAGGGAAGGGCAUCAAGGCUUGGUGACUUGAUGUUAAAAUCAGCAUGGGCAACGGGCAGACUUGAUCAAGUAGAGGCGACUUGACAAGAACAAGCUACUGUGGCAGCGGAUUGGCGUGCGGCUAAGUCAAGGGUGACGAGCUGUGGUGAUGACAUUGAGCGGAAGCAGUGUCAAAGGCUAAUGCUGGGCGCAAAGCCAGCCUUAGGCGUGCAGCAGCUGGCCAAGAAACACGCACAUGCAGCGCACAUGGAAUGGUUUUCAAGUGUGCUGUGCACAUGCCAUGCAGUUGGCGGUUACAACUGCCUUUGUCCAAGAGUUGUUGAUUAUAGGCUGAGUCUAUGCACGUUUUUAGGCAUGUUAGAGACAUGUCCUACACGUUUUGAUCAUGGGGAUCAUGUCCUAUCAGUUGGGGGAUGUCAACUGAACAUAGGAAACACUUUUGGGGCUGACUACAUUAUAUAUAUGUGUGCUAGCAGCCUUAAAAACGGGCUAAGUACCUAGGGAGGGAAAAUGUCUGAAAGAUAGGCAUAGGGUUGUCUAUUUUAUGGCUUGAGCAUGG
rnacentral:lncRNA from 1 species